rnacentral:tRNA from 1 species
GGGAAGGUGGCUCAGUGGUAGAGCGCUUGACUGGCAUGCAUGAGGCCCUGGGUUCGAUUCCUCAGCCCCA